rnacentral:miRNA from 1 species
CUGGGUGAGGGCAUCUGUGGU